GGGUUUGCAGCUGGGAGGGGAAGAAGGCACAGUCGGAAGGGGAAGGGAGAGGGAAGAAGGGAGACAUAGUGGGUUUGCAGCGUGGGAGAGAGAGAGAGAGGGGCAGUGGGUUUGCCUGGUCGGAAGGGGAAGAAGGAAUGGUCAGAAGUGGAAGAGAGAGGGAAGAAGGGAGAGGCAGUGGGUUUGCAACGCCGGAGAGAGAGAAAGGGGCAGUGGGUUUGCAGUGCUGGAGAGAGAGAUAAACGGGUAGAGAGAGAGGGGUUUCAGAAAUUUGAAUUUCGUAGUUUUGUCCGCGAUAUAUCGUGGGGUGGCGCUGAGGCCGCCCGAAUAGCAUUACUCUAGGAAAAGAAAAAGAAUAAUGCUAUUCGGCCAGAAGUGAUGCCGGAAAAAGUGCCACCCCAUAGAUAUCGCAAAAUUACCUCUAAAAUAUCGCGAUAUUUUCAAUGAAGUGAGGGUGGCCGAAAUUUCAAAUUUCAAAUUAUUUUCUCUCUCUCUCUCUCUCUGCCUGACCCAUCCCAACUUUUCCCAGAGAUUUGGCCUAAUCUCUCACUAUCUUCUCAUUCUCUUAUUUCUCUCUCUCACAACCCCCUUUCUCUCUUUUUCUCUCUCUCUCUCUCAUAUUCUCUGCCUUUUCUCUCUUUUUUUCUCUCUCUCUCUCUCUCAUAUUCUCUGCCUGACCCAUGCUCCCCUUCGAAGAGGCUUGUUCCUCCAUUCCUUUUGUUAAGGCCAUCUAUCUCUCUCUCUCUUUCUCUCCUGCGCGUUUGACCGAGCCUCUGGUCUCCCUUGGGCUCAUUACGACCAUCUCUUGCUCUCCAGCCCCUGUUACAGUAUCUCCAGCAUCCCUUGGCUCGAUCCUUGUCCGAUCUACAAUGAGGCUUUGAUCGUGAGAAGCUUCGGCCGACGGUGGUCGUCGGAGGCGUUGGUGGCGACUGUUACAUAUAUACAUAUAUUUGUAUAUAUUUUUUUCUCUUUUGUAAUUAUUUUAAUUUAUAUUGUAAAUGUUAAUAUUUAAUUAUGAAUUUGUGUUGAAGAUGUUGAAGUUAAUAUUGAAUUUGUAUUGAAUUGGUGA